CAGUAGCGUAUAUUAAAGUUGUUGCAGUUAAAAAGCUCGUAGUUGGAUUUCUGGUACGCUGCGCCUGGCCCGCCCACGUUAGUGGUGUGAGUGUCGGUGCGCGGUUGCCAUCCUUCUAGAGAACGUGUCUACCUUUAAUUAGGCCGGAUACGGGAUCUAGAUCAUUUACUUUGAAAAAUUAGAGUGUUUAAAGCAGGCUUUUGCUAUGAAUACAUUAGCAUGGAAUAAUAAUAUAGGACUUUGGUUCUAUUUUGUUGGUUUCUAGGACUAAAGUAAUGAUUGAUAGGGAUAGUUGGGGGUGCUAGUAUUCAGCGGCCAGAGGUGAAAUUCUUGGAUUCGCUGAAGACUAACUUAUGCGAAAGCAUUCACCAAGGAUGUCUUCUUUAAUCAAGAACGAAAGUUGGGGGAUCGAAGACGAUUAGAUACCAU
rnacentral:rRNA from 1 species